GUCAACUACCCCGCCCUAAAGGGCGGAGCUUGCCUGCCUGCCGCGACGCAGGCAGGUGAAAGCAAGCUCGGUUGACCAGGGCAAGCGGUGCAAACCCGCUACGUGCAUCACAGGUCGUUAAGACCCACUCCGGGAUGCUUCCUCAGUCCCGGACUCUGGA
rnacentral:sRNA from 18 species